rnacentral:rRNA from 1 species
UACAGAGGGUGCGAGCGUUAAUCGGAAUUACUGGGCGUAAAGCGUGCGUAGACGGUUAUUUAAGUCGGAUGUGAAAGCCCCGGGCUCAACCUGGGAAUUGCAUUCGAGACUGAAUAGCUAGGGUACGGUAGAGGGAAGCGGAAUUUCCGGUGUAGCGGUGAAAUGCGUAGAUAUCGGAAGGAACAUCAGUGGCGAAAGCGGCUCACUGGCCCGGUACUGACGCUGAGGUGCGAAAGCGUGGGGAGCAAACAGG